GACGAACGCUGGCGGUGUGCUUAACACAUGCAAGUCGAACGGCAAGGCCCUGCUUUUGUGGGGUGCUCGAGUGGCGAACGGGUGAGUAACACGUGAGUAACCUGCCCUUGACUUUGGGAUAACUUCAGGAAACUGGGGCUAAUACCGGAUAGGAGCUCCUGCUGCAUGGUGGGGGUUGGAAAUUCUCGGCGGUUGGGGAUGGACUCGCGGCUGAUCAGCUUGUUGGUGGGGUAGUGGCUUACCAAGCCUUUGACGGGUAGCCGGCCUGAGAGGGUGACCGGCGACAUUGGUACUGAGGUACGGCCCAGACGCGUACGGGAGGCAGCAGUGGGGAGUAUUGCACAAUGGGCGGAAGCCUGAUGCAGCAACCCCGCGUUCGGGAUGACGGCCUUCGGGUUGUGAACCGCUUUCGCCUGUGACGAAGCGGGAGUGACGGUAAUGGGUAAAGAAGCACCGGCUAACUACGUG
rnacentral:rRNA from 1 species